rnacentral:rRNA from 1 species
GUCGAGAAUCUUUCACAAUGGGGGCAACCCUGAUGGAGCGACGCCGCGUGGAGGAUAAGGUCUUCGGAUUAUAAACUCCUGUCAUGCGUGAACAAGGUUGCUUGGUUAAUACCUGGGCAAAUUGAUGGUAACGCAAGAGGAAGAGACGGCUAACUCUGUGCCAGCAGCCGCGGUAAUACAGAGGUCUCAAGCGUUGUUCGGAAUCACUGGGCGUAAAGGGUGCGUAGGUGGCGUGGUAAGUCAGAUGUGAAAGCCCGGGGCUCAACCUCGGAACUGCAUCCGAUACUGCCAUGCUAGAGUACUGGAGAGGUGACUAGAAUUCUCGGUGUAGCAGUGAAAUGCGUAGAUAUCGAGAGGAAUACCAAAGGCGUAGGCAGGUCACUGGACAGUUACUGACACUGAGGCACGAAGGCCAGGGGAGCGAACGGGAUUAGAUACCCGUGUAGUCC